rnacentral:lncRNA from 1 species
GUGUGUGUCAGGUCUGGGGUGAAGACCGCAUUUCCCCACUGCACCUUGAAGCUUCCCAGGCCGCUCGAUGUCACAAGCCACACUCCCAGGACCUCCAGACAAGGCCAUAUGACACUCCGGGUGUUCAGCUGCAAAUAGAAAUGUCCAAUGUAUUAGAAGGGGGCUAGCGGGCAUCAUCUGGCUGUGCAUUCCUGUAGCCACUCCUCCAGGAUGGCUCUGGACGUCGGGGAGGGCAUGCGACACCCACUCCACAGGACUGCUUAGUGACUGUCAUGCUGGUGUUGGUCCAAGUGAUUAUUUUCCUGCCAAGACUCUGGCCCAGAAGCCCAGCUCCUACACAUUGGAAAUGAUUCAGCCAAGCAACUGCCCUGCAUGUAACAAGGGCGGACAACUAAGUGGGAGAAAGUCACGGUCAGCACACAAAUCUUGUUAAAAGACACAGGAUCCAGACGCCAGGAAAAACAUAAAGGGCCACAUAAAAAAAAAAAAAAAAGCAAUUUUUUGCAUGUUAAAAAAACCUAUAAAAUCAAAAGAAAAGUUGCAAGUUGGGAGAAAUAACAACAUCUGAGUCACCCUGCCUCGGUGAGGAUGUGGAAAACGUACUUGUGUUUGGUGGGCAAAGAGCCCUUUCUGCAGGGCAGUUAUCUGCAUCAACAUCCAAAGUAUCUUUACCUUGUGACUUAGAGUUAGUGGGAGUUGUGUGCACAGGUGACGCCUGCCCAAGGGCGUCCAGUGUGACUGUCACAGGGGACUGUUCAGAUAGCAGGAAAGAGGACUCUGGCACGCAGGCCCCCUGGCCUGUGCACCAGGCCCGUGGUGUGAAGAUGGUGACGGCCAUUCAGAAGGACGAGUAGGUCCGUAAGUGCCAACGUGGUUCUUCUUAAGAGGCAAAGGCGUAGGACCAGUACAGAACCAGAUGUGGUCAGUGCCGUGUGAGGGGAUGGGUAUGCAUGACACUGAUGUGUGUACACCCUCCACUCUGUCCCCGUCCUCCCCCUGCCCGCCCACAAAUAGCCCCCAAGGAUGAGCUUGCCUUCCUGUCUUGAGUGACACUCCUGGGGAGGGACCUACUUUAUAAGAAGGAAAAUCUACAGGGUCAUUUUUUUUUUUUAAAUUAUUUUUUUUGUCUUUUGUCUUUUUAGGGCCACACCCGUGGCACAUGGAGGUUCUCAGGCUAGGGG